rnacentral:rRNA from 1 species
UACGGGGGGAGCAAGCGUUGUUCGGAUUUACUGGGCGUAAAGGGCGCGUAGGCGGCGUGACAAGUCACUUGUGAAAUCUCCGGGCUUAACCCGGAACGGUCAAGUGAUACUGUCGUGCUAGAGUACAGAAGGGGCAACUGGAAUUCUCGGUGUAGCGGUGAAAUGUGUAGAGAUCGGGAGGAACACCGGUGGCGAAGGCGGGUCUCUGGGCAAUUCCUGACGCUGAGGCGCGAAAUCGUGGGGAGCAAACGGG